rnacentral:lncRNA from 1 species
UUGUUAUCAAAAAGGGAGUUGGGUAACCUCUCCCCUACGGUCGAGCCUGCUUUUGAUCCGGAACUAUACCUUGGUCUUGUGAUCCAGCUUCAGAUCGAACGGUAAGGAUCCCCUCUCCGGGGUUUGCCAUAUCUAUGCCAGGGCGGGGACAAACGCCUACGAAAAGAUCGCAUGGAUUUUAUAUAUAAUUUUAGUGUGAAUAUGUAUAAUGAGACAUGAACUGUGCAAGUUUUGAAUGUAUAUU